rnacentral:rRNA from 1 species
GACAAGAAAUAACAAUACGGGGCUUAAUGUCUUGUAAUUGGAAUGAUGGGAAUUUAAACCUCUUCCAGAGUAUCAAUUGGAGGGCAAGUCUGGGGCCAGCAGCCGCGGUAAUUCCAGCUCCAAUAGCGUAUAUUAAAAUUGUUGCAGUUAAAAAGCUCGUAGUUGAAUUUCUGCUGCAUUACAUAUCUCUUGUUUGAGUUUGUUUUUGUGGCUUAUUUCGGUUUGAUUUUUCUUUCCGGAUGAUUACUUUGAGAAAAUUAGAGUGCUCAAAGCAGGCUUUUGCCUUGAAUAGUUUAGCAUGGGAUAAUAAAGUAGGACUUUGGUUCUAUUUUGUUGGUUUUAGGUACCAAAGUAAUGGUUAAUAGGAACAGUUGGGGGCAUUCGUAUUUAACUGUCAGAGGUGAAAUUCUUAG